CCUUACCAACCCUUGACAUCCUAGGACAACUCCAGAGAUGGAGCCUUCCUUCGGGACCUAGUGACAGGUGCUGCAUGGCUGUCGUCAGCUCGUGUCGUGAGAUGUUCGGUUAAGUCCGGCAACGAGCGCAACCCACAUCCUUAGUUGCCAGCAGUUCGGCUGGGCACUCUAGGGAAACUGCCCGUGAUAAGCGGGAGGAAGGUGUGGAUGACGUCAAGUCCUCAUGGCCCUUACGGGUUGGGCUACACACGUGCUACAAUGGCAGUGACAAUGGGUUAAUCCCAAAAAACUGUCUCAGUUCGGAUUGUCGUCUGCAACUCGACGGCAUGAAGUCGGAAUCGCUAGUAAUCGCGUAACAGCAUGACGCGGUGAAUACGUUCCCGGGUCUGUACACACCG
rnacentral:rRNA from 1 species